rnacentral:lncRNA from 1 species
UUAUCCAAAUUGACUUCAUUACGUAAGAUUUUAGCUUAUAUAGCAACUCAAUUUAAAGUAAUUACAUUAUUUACUUUAAUAAAAUUUAAAUCAUAGUAAAAAUGGAUCAAUAUAAAUUUAUCAUCUCUCUGGGCAAAACACGAAUUGUAUUCUUCUUUGAUGGCAAAUUCUGGUCAUUCUCUUCACAUCUGGUGGCGGGAUCGGUAGUAGAGUACAGAUGACGAAUAAGCCUAUGUUGUCAUUCAAGAACACUCUAAUGGGGGAAUAAUGACUCAAUCCAUUUAGAUGAAGAAAGCUUUGAGGAGGAUGAUUUUGAUCUUCAAGAGGGUGAUAUUAUUUCAAAAACAAUUGACGGAGUCCGGGCGAUUCAGUACUCUCCUCGUGUUUACCAACUUGUCUCUCAAAGUAUGGAUAAAACUGUGGUGAGUAAAUCUUCAUCAUGAUGGAUCUUCUUCUUCACAGUCGUCAGAAUCAAAUACAGUUAAAUAGAGGCAAGUUCGGUGUGGGUUAAAAGGGAAAGGCAUUCAGAUUGGGUGUGACGGUACUAUUAAAAAACUAGUGUCGGUGGAAGACUUCGUUAAUGCUUUGGUGGAGAAUAUUACUGCACAGGCGAAAAAGGGUGAUGAUCUAAUGGAUGAUGAGAUUGAUUAUGCCAAAGAGAGAGAUCAGGAGUUGGAGAAUGAUGUUGCUGAAUAAGCAAAAAACAUGUGUUGUUUCUAAUUUUUAUCAUUUUAUUUAUGUCAUUAAAUUUUUUUCAUAGAAUUGUCAAGGAUGUAGACAUCCCCGUUUUGAUAGAAUUAUGAAAGAAAAUAUGAGAGUACACAAAUCGGAUAUUGUGGCUUUGACUGAAACGAAAUUAAGUGGGAAUAAAGCUAAUUGGAUAAUUGAGAAAACACAAUUCCC